rnacentral:rRNA from 1 species
UGGCGGCGUGCCUAACACAUGCAAGUCGAGCGAUUCUCUUCGGAGAAGAGCGGCGGACGGGUGAGUAACGCGUGGGUAACCUGCCCUGUACACACGGAUAACAUACCGAAAGGUAUGCUAAUACGAGAUAAUAUGCUUUUAUCGCAUGGUAGAAGUAUCAAAGUUUUUGCGGUACAGGAUGGACCCGCGUCUGAUUAGCUAGUUGGUAAGGUAACGGCUUACCAAGGCGACGAUCAGUAGCCGACCUGAGAGGGUGAUCGGCCACAUUGGAACUGAGACACGGUCCAAACUCCUACGGGAGGCAGCAGUGGGGAAUAUUGCACAAUGGGCGAAAGCCUGAUGCAGCAACGCCGCGUGAGCGAUGAAGGCCUUCGGGUCGUAAAGCUCUGUCCUCAAGGAAGAUAAUGACGGUACUUGAGGAGGAAGCCCCGGCUAACUACGUGCCAGCAGCCGCGGUAAUAAUCACUA